GGGGACAAAUAAGGGAAUAAAAACUGGUCAGCCCAGCUGGCCCAGGCAACCCAGGUCUCCUUCCACAUUGUGGAGGUUUUGUUCUUUCAUUCUUCGCAAUAAAUCUUGCUGCUGCUCACUGUUUGUGUCCGGCCCGUCUUUAAGAGCUGAAACACUGACGGCAAAAGCCCGCAGCUCCAUUCUUGAAGUCAGCGAGACCACGAAUCCACCGGAAGGAACCAACUCUGGACACAAUAGGGGCUUAUGAUCAGGCAAAGGAGACACCAGGAAAGAGGAGCAGAGUGGCUAGGGCAGUGCACUGCAGAUGCAUGGACGAAAGCUCGCAGCGACACAAGCAUGGGGUGUCUAAUCAGGGAUGAGUGUGAGCAGCAGAAUGAGGAGCAUGCUUUCCCAGAGGAAGAGAGGAAGCCACUGGAGAGAUGAAGGAUGCCAUGGACAGGAGAUGAGUCCUGGUCCAGCCUGUAAUAAGAUGGAAAUGAAGAGAGCUGCCGAAUAAUGAAAAAUCACUCAAAAGGGGCAGAUUCUGAUGACGGCACAGGGGCCACCAAAGACUGGAGAUAUGAAGAGUGGCUGUGAGCGUCAGGGAAAGGGGGGUGUGCCUGAGAGCCCCGUUCAUCUCCUUGCUCGCCAGGGCUCCACUAUCUGACUGCUGGGUUUGAAUCCCAGCUUUGCCCCUUUACUGGCUAUGUGACUGUAAACAAGCCACCUAAGUCCUCAGUCUAGUCCUCCAUGAAAAUGGGGAUUAAAAUGGUACUUUUCUCAGGGGUGGCGGAGUGUUGUGCAAAUUGACGAUUUAAUACAUGUAGUGCCCUUUGAGGUAGAGCAUGGUGCUUAAUACAUGUUCCACAGCAUUUGCCAUUUUGUGAUGAGCCAGGCUCUGUCCUGUGUGUUACCCAAAGAGCCCCAUCCUCAAUCAGAGCUUACAUUUGAGUCACGACCACCAACCAGGCACACCCAGGAUGACAUGCUGUGGGGGGGUGGCUGCCAUAAUAAGGUCCAAAAACUGGCUGGCUUAAAGCAAUGAAAAUGUAUUGUCUCACAGUUCUGGAAACUGCAAGUCUGAAAUCAAGGUGUUGGCAGGGCUGUGCUUCCUCUGAAAGCUUCCUUGCCUCCUCCUAGCUUCUGGUGGCCGGCCAGCCAUGUUUUGGUGGUCCUGGCUCGCAGUUGCGUGGCGGUAUUCUGCCUUCCUGGUCACAGGACAGUCUCUGAGUGUGUCUGUCUUCACUUGGCUGUGUUCUAAUAAUGACUCCAGUUACAUUGGAUUAGGGGCCCCCCUUACAAUACCACCUCAUUUAAACAAAUUAUAUCUGAAAUGACCCUAUUUUCAAAUAAAGUCGCAUUCUGAAGUACUAGGGGUUAGGACUUCAACAUUGAUUUGUGGGGGGCACAAUUCAUAACGUGUUGUUGAAGGGACUAACAACGAUUACAGCAGAUGUAGAAAGAGAUCUUAACUGAACUUCUCCUGUCAGACUAAAGCGGACACUCCAGAGAAUUCAGCUGCCAUAAAGCCCGAACCCAGGGUUUCCAGUCAGGGAGACAAAUGAGUCCUUUAACAUCAUGACAUUUCAAGUCAAUGGUGUCGGUGUCAGCAAACCUCAUCAGAACCUUCCAUUCUUUCCCUAACCCUCUCUGCCCUCCCUUCUUCAGUCAAGCUCCUAUGUAAGCCACAGUCCCUAGCUGUUCAGAGAUGCACUUCUUUGGUGUGCUGCUACAUGUGUGCAGAGAAAUUUUGUCUUUUCUGCUGUCAAUCUGUUCAUUGCCAUUUAAUUCACAGGCUUCUGACCACCGGGGUCUAAACUGAUAGAGGAAGAUCUCCUUCCCAACAUGGUAAAGAGAGAGCCAAAGGGGACAUUUGAGCAGAGGCCUGAAACAGGGACAGCUGGGCAUCAAGAAAUACUCACCUUGUGCUAGGAGCCUUGUGCCUAGACUUGUGAUUCAUCCCAGGUUUCCUAGGUUACAAAAAUACAUGCUAGUGGGACUAACGUGGAGAUUAAAUUGAGGGAAUUUUAUUUUUUUUGACAUGGAGCCUCGUUCUGUUGCCCAGACUGGAGUUCAGUGGCACGAUCUUGGCUCAGUGCAACCUCUGCCUCCUGGAUUCAAGCUAUUCUCCUGUCUCAGCCUCCCAAGUAGCUGGGAUUACAGGUGUGCACCACCAUGCCCGGCUAAUUUUGUAUUUUCAGAAGAGAUGGGUUUCAUCAGGUUGGCCAGGCUGGUCCUGAACUCCUGACCCCAAGAGAUCCACCUGCCUUGGCCUAACAAAGUGCUGGGAUUACAGGCGUGAGCCACUGUGCCUGGCCCACUAAAUUGCAGGAAUCUAAACCCUGAGUUGCAAGAAUCUGAUUAUCUCAAAUGCAGAAAUUUAAGUUGCUGCAAACAUCUUGCUUGUACCUAGCUUGCUGAAAGAUGCUGAUCAAGAACAAUUAUGAAAAUACAGAGUGUGCAGUAUUUAAUCCCUUUUAUCAUUUCAUAGUUGUGUGUCAAUUAGAUUUUGUUGCACAACGAACCAUCUCAAAAUUUAUAAGGUGUGAAACAAUAUAUUUUUAUGAUUGGUCAUGGGGUUAUGGGCAGCGGAGUAGUUCCUCUGCUAUGGAGCUACUUGGGUAGUUAGCUGUGGGUCUGGUAAAUUGGGUAGAGGGUGGGUCUGCUGAAACGGCUUAGACUCUGUUGUGUGUUUGGGGUUCAUUUUUAAACAGGCUGGGUUCUCAACUCUCCUUUUCUUACCUUCCAGCAGGCUAGCCCAGGCUUGUUCUUAUGAGAUGCAAGAAAAGGAGCCAAAAUGUGCAAAACCUCUUCAAGUGCAGGCUUAGAACAGGCAUGCCAUUAUUGCACCACAUUCUAUGAGCUAAAAAAAUAAAAAUAAAAAGCACGAGGACAGCCAAAUGUAAGGGCUUGGGAAAUAGCCUCUACUUCUUGAUGGAAGAGUUACAAAUUCACUUUGUAAAGAGCAUAAAUAUAGGAAAGAAAGGUGAGCUCUCUUUGCAAUCAUUUUACACCAGCGAUUAUAGCUCCAAGGGUACAUCAGGAGUUGACAAGUGUUUUGUGUAAAGCGCUAGAAAAUAAGCAUUUUAGGAUUUGAGGGCAUAUAUGUUCUUGGCUGCUUAUAAUUAUUAUAUUUCUGCUUUUUCUCCUUCUCUCUUUUUUUUUUCUUCUUCUGUUUUCUUCUACUUCUUUACCCUUUAAACUUGUAAAAACAUUCUUUGCUCAAUGGCUGUACAAGAACAGGCUGUAGGCCAAUUUUAGCCCGUAGACUCUCAUUUGGAAACCAUUGUAGGUAAUUAAAAAGGCAACUGGCAAGGCAAAGUUUAGUUCUCUAUGUAUUUAAGAAUUGUGAGUUGAAACUGGUACAAUAUGAAGCAAGAAUUUUUAAAAAUUUUAUUCUAAAUAUGUGCUUAUAUUCAGCACUGAGAGAAGAUGCUUAUGUGAAUAAACACACAGUGUGAUUUCACCAUAUGAUAUGUCCAUUUGCAAGUCUUUAGUUGAAAAAUCGUUGCAUGGAUAACACCUGAGGAAGAACACUGACAGGUCUUUGUUCUGAAAAAAUCCACUGGUGUUAUGCAGAUAAGCACUUUGAUUUCUGUAGCUUUGUAACAGGUUUUGAAAUUUGGAAGUAUGAGUUUUCCACAUUUGUUCUUUUUUCAAGAUCGUAUUGGCUAUUCCAGAUCCCUUGGAUUUCCAUAUAAAUUUGAGGAUAGAUCUUGUCAAUUUCUGCAAAGACUCCAGCUGGGAUUUUGUUAGUGUUGGUGUGAAAUGUGUGUAUCAGGGCAGUAUUGCAUAGAAGUGCCAAGAGUGGACAGCACUGCCUUGUUUUUAACCUUAGUAGGAAAUCCUUCCAUCUUUCACCAUUAAAUAUAAUGUUAGUUGUGAGUUUUUCAUUGAUGCCCUUUUUAAGGAGGAAAAAGUUCCCUUGAAUUCUUAAUUUGUUGGGUAAAGUCUUAUCAAGAAAAGGUGUUGGAUGUUUUAAAGUGCUGUUUCUUUGUCUGUUGGGAUGAUCAUGUAGUUUUUGUUCUUUAUUCAGUUAAUUGAUUUCUGAAUGUUAAAUUCGUCUAACAUUCCUAGGAUUAAUUCCAUGUGGCCAUGGUGUAUGUUGCUGGAUUCUAUUUAAAAUUAUUUCUGGAGAAUCUUUGUCUGUAUUCGUAAAAUACAUUAGGCUAUAGUUUUGUUCUCUUGUGAGGUCUCCAUUUGAUUUUCUAUCUAAAUAAUACUGGUCUCAAACAAUGAGUUAGAAAGUGUUUCCACCUCUUAUGUUUUAGAAGAUUUUGU